rnacentral:rRNA from 1 species
AUGGCCGUCGCCGACGCCGACGCGGUGCUGCCGCCGCCCCCGCCCCCGCCGGCGCGGAUCGUCGUCGUGGUGCUAGCGCUCGUGCACUUGGCCCUCGCCCCGAUGCUGGCGCUCGGGGGCGUCCUCUGCAUCGCGGCGGGAGCCCUCCCCUACCUGUUCUUCGCGGUCGCGUGGGUCAUCUCUGCGGCCACGGCUGGACAGAUCGUGGCGAGCCGCGCCUGGGGCGAGAGCUCCGCCCAAUUCGUGUUCCUGCAGGCCAUAAUGUACUGGGGCCUCAAGGUCCUCAUCUACAGCAUCCUUGUGCUGGUCGCGCUUCUCGUCCUGUUGAUGUGCGUGGACUACGUGAUUGCAGUUGUAUCUGGAUCCACUUCGGCAUUCAAGAAGAGCGCAUCAGGAGCAUUCACGCGGGAGUCGGUUGCAGACAUGUUUAGGCUUCCGCGCACCGCGGUGCUUGGAUAUGUUGCGGAUGUGGCCUUCUUCCUUCUAAUGGUCGCUGGUCUUCUGGUGGCGAUGCUGUCGCCGCACGUGGAGGGUUCGAUAUCUCAGGGUGAAAUGGUUGCCUCCGUAAUCAUAGAUGUGGCACUAUUUGGUAUGCACGCGACAGCUUGCUUUGUUAUCAUCCCAGCGCUCGUUCUUAGUGUGUGGAGGGGUGGCCAGGCGGACAGGAAAGCGCCAUCGCAGUUUUGUUGA